GGCACUUCUUCAUGCUGCCUUGCGAAGAAGCUGGCUUGCUUCCUCUUUGUCUUCCGCCAUGAUUGUAGAUUUCCUGAGGCCUCCCAAGCUGUGCUGAACUACCAAACCAAUGCAGACCAAACCAAUGCAGAACUCCUAUGUGCUGAUGGUGGUCUUACAUUUCCCUAAGUUUCUGCCGACUAAACUGUGCACACGUUCUCAGGACCUCCUGAAGCUGCGUCACAGGCACUAAUCAAAGAACACAACCAAGAGUUUGGCCUUUUCUUCAGCACUGGGAAUUGUGAUCCAAAGCUUUUCCCGAUGAAGCACAAAGUUGGAGAAAAAAAAACGCAAACUAAACAACCACAAUGAAACAGAACAGAGUUAAUCUGCUGUAGCUCAAGAGAGGAUGUACCUGCCCCCACCCCGCAUCCCUGGGCUCGGGUUUGCCUUGCUGACCUCUGCUGCCACCUGGUGCCACACAGAGAAACUGAGGAGAAACCACAUCAGUCUCCUUCAGCCUCAGCUUCACAUCUGUGGGUCAAGUAACCCUUUCAGAAGCUGAAUAAUGUGGGAAAGCUUUCCUCUCAGGAAAAUGCACACAUCCAACUUUGAGAAGAUGCCCUUGGGGGCGCUUCAAGGAUUCUAGAUAAUAACCCCCUUUCCCGAACAUCCAAGAACCUAAGAUUUUUUUUUUUUUGAGAAAGUCUCGCUCUCUCUCCCAGUCUGGAGUGCAGUGGCGUGAUCUUGGCUCACUGCCAGCUCCACCUCCCAGGUUCACGCCAUUCUCCUGCUUCAGCCUCCCAAGUAGCUGGGGCUACAGGCACCUGCCACCAAACCCGGCUAAUUUUUUUGUAUUUUUAGUAGAGACGGGGUUUCACCGUGUUAGCCAGGAUCGUCUUGAUCUCCUGACCUUGUGAUCCACCCGCCUCGGCCUCCCAAAUUGCUGGGAUUACAGAUGUGAGCCACCGCACCUGGUCCAAGAACCCAAGUUUUAGAUCUAGAGUGAUGUCAGCAUGACAUUGAUUUCCUGAGGCCCAGGGGCGAAGGAGCUGAGGACAGCAGAGGGGUGAAGGAACUCAGCUACAGACAGCAGCAGCUGAUGCACAGGCCUCCCAGCGCCUGAAGUCACCCGGAAUUGGGAAGUGCUCAGAAGCUUACAAAGCUGCCUCGAGGAACAGUAAGAGGACCUUGUGCAUGAAUAAUUUGUUUCCACACUGCAGACAGAAGAAUCCCAGACUUCUUAGAGAACCCAGUGACUUUUUGCACCUUAAAUCUGUGAAAUCCUCAUGCUUUCUUCUGCCGUAUCCAUCGUUCAAACAAACAUGAGGCAAAGCUAGACACAUUCCUGAAGGAACCCAAGAAAUUCCUCUCUUUCUCUCUCUGGAAUGAAAUGAAUUCUCUAGACCACCAGUUCUAACCUUCAAAAACGAAACCUGUUUGUGAGAUCUCCUUCAAAUACUACUGUAGACCCCAGUGUUUAUUCAUUAAAUUUUUUAAACAUUUGUUUUA
rnacentral:sRNA from 1 species